rnacentral:rRNA from 1 species
CCUACGGGUGGCAGCAGUGGGGAAUAUUGCACAAUGGGGGAAACCCUGAUGCAGCGACGCCGCGUGAGUGAAGAAGUACUUCGGUAUGUAAAGCUCUAUCAGCAGGGAAGAAGAAAGACGGUACCUGACUAAGAAGCCCCGGCUAACUACGUGCCAGCAGCCGCGGUAAUACGUAGGCGGCAAGCGUUAGCCGGAUUUACUGGGUGUAAAGGGAGCGUAGACGGUUGUGCAAGUCUGAAGUGAAAGCCCAGGGCUCAACCCUGGGACUGCUUUGGAAACUGGGGAGCUGGAGUGCUGGAGAGGUAAGUGGAAUUCCUGGUGUAGCAGUGAAAUGCGUAGAUAUUAGGAGGAACACCAGUGGCGAAGGCGGCUUACUGGACAGUAACUGACGUUGAGGCUCGAAAGCGUGGGGAGCAAACAGGAUUAGAUACCCCUGUAGUC